rnacentral:rRNA from 1 species
UAUAGACAUCUGCGCAAUUGGGGAAAAACCACGACGAGGGGUUCCAAGUGCUCAGGGUACCCAGGGGCGGUUUUUCUGCUUAAAGUGCAGGGAGAGGAGGGCCGGGUAAGACGGGUGCCAGCCGCCGCGGUAAUACCUGCGGCCCGAGUGGGGGCCGUUAUUAUUGAGCCUAAAGCGUCCGUAGCCGGUUCAGUAAAUUUCUGGGUAAAUCGGGCAGCUUACCUGUCCGAAUUCCGGAAAGACUGCUGAACUUGGGACCGGGGGAGGUUGGAGGUCCUCCUGGGGUAGGGGUGAAAUCCUGUAAUCCUGGGGGGACCACCAGUGGCAAAGGGGUCCAACCAAAACGGAUCCAACGGUAAGGGACGAAGCCUUGGGGCGCAAACGGGAUUAGAUACCCGGGAAGUCCAGGGUGUAAACGCUGCAGGCUUGUUGUUGGGGGUCCUACAAGGGCGCCCAGUGCGGGAGAGAAGUUGUUAAGCCUGCCGCUUGGGGAGUACUCCCGCAAGGAUGAAACUUAAGGGAAUGGGCGGGGGAAAGGGCGAAUUCGUUUAAACCUGCAGGACUAGUCCCUUUAGGGAGGGUUAAUUCUGAGUUUGGCGUAUUCAUGGGCCAUAGCGGUUUUCCGGGAG